GUGGGGAAUCUUGCGCAAUGGGCGAAAGCCUGACGCAGCGACGCCGCGUGGGGGAUGAAGCCCUUCGGGGUGUAAACCCCUUUCGACCCGGACGAAAACCCGCAAGGGUCUGACGGUACGGGUAGAAGAAGCCCCGGCUAACUACGUGCCAGCAGCCGCGGUAAGACGUAGGGGGCCAGCGUUGCUCGGAAUUACUGGGCGUAAAGGGUCCGUAGGCGGUGCGGCAAGUCGGAAGUGAAAUCUCUGGGCUUAACUCAGAGGCUGCUUCCGAAACUGCCGUGCUCGAGUGUGGGAGAGGCGAGUGGAAUUGCAGGUGUAGCGGUGAAAUGCGUAGAUAUCUGCAGGAACACCAGAGGCGAAGGCGGCUCGCUGGACCACAACUGACGCUGAGGGACGAAAGCUAGGGGAGCAAACAGGAUUAGAAACCCGGGUAGUCC
rnacentral:rRNA from 1 species